UUCCUUUCUUUCUUCUUGAGGAUUCACACUGCCCUUUCUGUUCACACAAGCCUCAGUAUAAAUCUUUCUCUCUCUAUCUCUUUUUUGUUUCUUUGAUUUGCUUUGCUUUUCCCUUUGAUCUAUAUCCUUUUUGGUGGGUGCAAAUUUCCAUCGAUCGUCUUUCUCAAUUAUUUUAUCCAGAUUUUGUUGCGUGUGGUGUGUGUAUUAAUGGAAGGACACCAUCCCCAUCAUCAUCAUCAUCAACAGCAACAUCAGCAGCAGCAGCAGCAGCACCAUCAGCAUCAGCAUCACAUCAGUGUUAGUGUUGAUACUGAUAGAUUUCCUCAAUGGAGUAUUCAGGAAACGAAGGAGUUCUUGAUGAUUCGAGCAGAGCUGGAUCGUACUUUCAUGGAGACUAAGAGAAAUAAACUUCUUUGGGAAGUUAUAUCUAAUAAGAUGAAAGAAAAGGGUUUCCAUCGCAGUGCAGAGCAGUGCAAGUGCAAGUGGAAAAACCUCGUUACUCGUUAUAAGGGAUGUGAAACCAUGGAACCUGAAUCUUUGCGGCAACAAUUUCCAUUCUAUAAUGAGUUGCAAGCGAUAUUCGCAGCAAGGAUGCAAAGGAUGUUAUGGGCUGAAGCUGAAGGAGGUGCAGGCGGGUCUAGUAAAAAGAAAGCGGUGCAGGUAUUAUCCGAUGAGGAGGAUGAUAACGAAGAUAGUGAAGGAGAGAAGGGUAGCAUUAAAAAGAAGAAAAAGACCAAAAGCACUACCACUGGUGGAAGUGGGAGUGUAAAUAAUAAUAAUAAUUUAAAGGAGAUCUUGAGGGAUUUCAUGAGGCAACAGAUGCAAAUGGAGAUGCAAUGGAGAGAAGCCUUCGAAGCGAGGGAAAACGAGAGAAGGAUAAAGGAAAUGGAGUGGAGACAGACGAUGGAAGCAUUAGAGAACGAGAGGAUAAUGAUGGACAGGAGAUGGAGAGAGCGUGAAGAACAAAGAAGAAUGAGAGAAGAAGCUAGGGCUGAGAAAAGGGACGCACUUAUUACAGCACUUCUGAACAAGCUCAGAAGAGAAGAAAUGUAACCAGGCGUUUUGCUUAAGCAUUUCUUGUUUAGAACAACAACAGCAACAAGAAGUAAGAGCUUCCAGAGGGGUUUGCACUGCAACAUAUGUACAUUUAUGGAUGGCGGAGGCGGUGGUGGUGGUGCAAAUGUUUCUUGCUGCUAACAAAGUUUUCAACUUUGAACCUUGACUGUGAAAGUCAAAAAAAUGUGCUUACGACUUGUUUUGAUUUUGCUUCUGGAAUAGUUAAUGUGAGAGACAAAUUCUAAUUGUAAUUCUGAAGAUGGAGAAAAGAAAAAAAGAAGAAGAAAUUCAGAAUAUGUGCAUUUGGUUUUGUCAUGUGCAUGAGGUAGGACAAACCAACAAGCAAUCAGAAGAUUGCCCAUUUGGGGAAACAGGCUGGCUGUUGAGCUUCUGAAUUUUCCUACGUGGGAAAACAAAAAUUGGAUUCUGGAAGGAGAUGCCACCGAUGUUGAUUAUAUUUAUGGAAGUCGGCCCUAUAGCUAUAUUUAGGCAUAUAACUAUAUAUAUAUAUAUAUACACACACAUAUAGCUGUUAGAGGUUCUUUAAGAAAUGAUAUGUCUAUCUACUAGCUAUAUGCAUGAGCAAACAGAUUUUAUUUUAUUUUAUUUUGUUUUUACACUGGUGAAUACAUGUGUAACACAAAUUAGGUUAAUUAGUAUGUGUGUUUCGUGGAAUGUCUUUUUUCUU